UACGAAGGGUGCAAGCGUUACUCGGAAUUACUGGGCGUAAAGGGUGCGUAGGUGGUUGUUUAAGUCUGCUGUGAAAUCCCCGGGCUCAACCUGGGAAUGGCAGUGGAUACUGGAUAGCUAGAGUGCGGUAGAGGGUAGUGGAAUUCCCGGUGUAGCAGUGAAAUGCGUAGAGAUCGGGAGGAACACCAGUGGCGAAGGCGGCUACCUGGAACGCAACUGACGCUGAGACGCGAAAAGCGUGGGGAGCAAACAGGG
rnacentral:rRNA from 1 species